AUGAACUACGAACCUCAACUAUGCUAUCUUGUUAUAGAUGAGUCUCCUCUUCCUCAUUCCACUCACAACCUUUUUGUUUUCAUUUAUACAGCGCAGUGGAGCAGAACUGGAACAAAGCCUUUUUGUGCUAAGAAACUUCUUGAACAUCCAUUAUUAAACGGCACGAGAGGGCCAUGGGUCUCGAUCUGCUCAGAGGAGACCAUCGAGACAUGCAAGACCACGUUUGAUCAUGAAAGAGAAGCUUCCAGAGAAAUCCAUACUGGAUGUACAGGGCACAAGGUUACAAGAUUAGAGAAACACUGGAAGACCCGUGGCUGUGGAGGAAAAAGACCAUGGAUGCAGGUGACACAGAGGACGAGGGGAAGUAACAACUGCAUGCUCGUCCCAAGCAACCAAACCCAAUGCGCUCCUGACCUCCCCAUGACUGCUGAGGAGACACCCAGACCAGCUCACCUGCAAAGAUAAGGUGAGGGAACUGAACUGAGGAGAAAAAACAUUUCAAAGACUUCAGCUUUUAAAGUACAUGGAGAGUACACUUUGAGGGUAGAGGUGGAGUACAUAAAGGAAUAAGACACUUAAAAGUCCCAUUAAUAACAAGUAUGUAUGCCUUAUUUAUCAGUUAAAUUAUUUAAAUGUUAGAUACCUAAAAAAUUUCGAAGAUACAUUUUCCAAUUUUUAACUCCUGUCAUGAUCAUGUAAAGAGACAUGAUGUAAAGUAAGCUCAUUUGACUUGUAAAGUAGCUGUAAAAAAGGUCACUUUGUAAAACCUAAAAUAAUGCACAUUUUGUAUAAAAAAAAAAAUUAACAUAACCGCUUAAACAAAAAUGCAAGCUUCAUUUAGCUUCAAUUUCUUGCCCCAUAGACUUCCAUUACAAAUGCAUUACAGCACAUGCAUUUUUACAAACUGAGAAACAGUGUGGUAAUUGACAUCAUGCUGCAGAUUUUGAUAACGGUCAACUUUUAUCAAACCCACAACAUUCCUUUAAAAGUUCAACAUUUUUUUGCGUUUGAGACAUUAGCCACUUUCUGUGUGAAAAAAUAGCUUUGAUAUAGUGCUAAAUCAACAGUGUAUCAAAAACAACAUAUUUCAACGCUUAUAUCAUAACAGUCAUGCCUUGCUAUCCAUGAAAGCAUUUUCCUUAAAGGCCUACUGUGGGUCUUAGUGCUGAGAAAGUGUCAUGUAGUUGAUGCAUUUAGUCAUGAUAUCAACCAAUGCUGUAUAAACAAUGGUUCCUGUCCAGCCAGAAUCAAUAUUUUACCUUUACAUGAGGAAGACUUGUACAGUGUAAAAGGAAUGUCAGUGUAGGGGGAGCUCUAAGAAAUGGAUGCUUUUAUUUCUAACAAAAUAAUGAAUUGAAACUCCACUGUUUCUUUCCUCUCUAUUCUGUUAUGGGACGACAAAAGUUCAAUAAUACAUGGGGAGAAGUUUGAUUUCGUCUGGAAGAACUCUUGCUUCGUGCUCCAGGGAGAACAGACAGCCUUCUCUGACCAGGACUCUCUUGGAAAAUAAGAAUACAUGCUGUUCAUAAUUAUAUAUUAAUGAUAUGUUUGUUUUGUAGCAGAGAGAGUGGAGAAGGACAAAGAACAGAGUAAGAAUAGCGCAGUCUCAAUGCUCAUGUCUUAUAGAUGAAUCAUGUGAAAGAUUGAUAGGAACUUUGUACAAGACAUCUACCGUCCAUGUCUGACUCACUGAGGUAUGAGCACACUGCAUAGGGUGUGUUCACGGUGAACAGCAAUGCAGGAAAACACCACUUAAGGUGCUGUUUGCACAGUUCAAAUUCUCUUUUUAAGUCGUUUUGUAUGUAAUCAUCUGCUAUAUGGAUGAUCUUUGACACGUUUCACUGGUUUUUCAGCACCUUAUGCCAUCAGCACCACUUUUUUACGAAGCUGUGUCAUAUCAAAAGUCUUUUUUCUUUAUUUUUAAAGAGAAAGUUCACCAAAAAAUGAAAAUUCUGUCAUUUACUCACCCUUAUGUCACAAUAAAUUUUAGUGAUUUGUGUGAUUUUAGGUAUUU
ensembl:lncRNA